rnacentral:rRNA from 1 species
UACGUAGGUGGCAAGCGUUGUCCGGAUUUACUGGGCGUAAAGAGCUCGUAGGUGGUUUGUCGCGUUGUUCGUGAAAACUCACAGCUCAACUGUGGGCGUGCGGGCGAUACGGGCAGACUGGAGUACUGCAGGGGAGACUGGAAUUCCUGGUGUAGCGGUGGAAUGCGCAGAUAUCAGGAGGAACACCGGUGGCGAAGGCGGGUCUCUGGGCCGAUGACUGACGCUGGAGGAGCGAA